AGCGAACGCUGGCGGCAGGCUUAACACAUGCAAGUCGAACGCCCCGCAAGGGGAGUGGCAGACGGGUGAGUAACACGUGGGAACGUACCCUUUGGUUCGGAAUAACUUGGGGAAACUCAAGCUAAUACCGGAUAAGCCCUUAUGGGGAAAGGUUUACUGCCGAAGGAUCGGCCCGCGUCUGAUUAGCUAGUUGGGGAGGUAACGGCUCACCAAGGCGACGAUCGGUAGCUGGUCUGAGGGGAUGAUCAGCCACACUGGGACUGAGAAACGGCCCAGACUCGUACGGGAGGCAGCAGUGGGGAAUAUUGGACGAUGGGGGCAACCCUGAUCCAGCCAUGCCGCGUGAGUGAUGAAGGCCUUAGGGUUGUAAAGCUCUUUUACCCGGGACGAUAAUGACUGUACCGGGAGAAUAAGCCCCGGCUAACUUCGUGCCAGCCGCCGCGGUAA
rnacentral:rRNA from 1 species